GACCUCAUGGCGCAGUGGUUAACGCGUUGGACUUUGGAUCUAAAGGCUGGUGGUUCAAAUCCAAGUCAAGCCA
rfam:Asian citrus Psyllid, Diaphorina citri - Florida Strain, whole genome shotgun sequence.